GCGCUCGCUACCGCUCCCGGCCCCGGCGGUUCUCCACGCCGCGCCCCCUCACUUAGCCCGCCUUCCUCGGCCUCUGGCCCUGGCGUGGGGCGCAGGAGCGGUCCAGGCGGGCGCGGGACGCCGGGCGCCGAGCAGCUCGGGAGGGCGCGGGCAGGGACAGUAGCGGGGGGGCAGGGGGCUGGGUGUCAGGGACGCCGAAGCCCCGGUAGUCGAAAGUCCCGUUUUAAGGACUGGCCUGAUAGAUUACUUUCUACUUAAAGAUCCAGCGGGAGGCGGGGCCACGUGACCGUGCGUGACGUCAGGGCCGCGGCCGAGCCGGCCAAACUCAAGUUGGUUCAGGGAAUUGUCAACAAAGGGACGAGAGACGCGCAACUCCGCUCCGCACUGUGCGCCAGCAUCCCCGGGGCACGGAGGGCGCUGCGGCCCGCCCGGAGACCCCCCCACCCAGGCUGGAUCCGGGCCCUGGGGCCCAGGGAGCGGGUGUGGACAAAUCCUCCAAGAUUUAACUUCCAAGAAAACCGGCGGCGGAGCGGGUGGAGGAGGCGAGGAUGUGUGGCCAAUGCACGCGGAGUGCAAGGCCGCCUAGUUGGGAGCCGCAAGAGCCUGCCUGGUGUGGCAGGCACACGGAACCCAAUCCCUGUCUGUCCGCUGCGGCCUGGGAGGGGAGCGCCGGCCUCACCAGAGGAAGGAGCACGAGGGGAGGAGUUCCGAGAGGAAAUAAUUAGUGAAAUAUUUGCAGAAGAUGCUGGGAUGUGGAUUUAAUUCCGGAUGGACAGUGGUGCUUCUGAUUCCCUCAGUCUGUUUCCCCACCCACGAUCUCCUCUUUCCUUGGCCUAGACACACCAAAAAUAAUUCAAUAAAAUAAAAAUAAAAAUUUAAAAAUCUGUAAACUUGCUUCAUUACAGGCAUUGAGACACACAGAUUGACUUUCAUCCCCAUUAGACAGUUUCCCAGGAUAUAACACUACUCAUCUGAGGCUGGGAGCAGGGUAGGGGGUGGUGACA
rnacentral:lncRNA from 1 species